UGGGGAAUAUUGGGCAAUGGGGCGCAAGCCUGACCCAGCAACGCCGCGUGAAGGAAGAAGGCUUUCGGGUUGUAAACUUCUUUGUCAGGGACGAGGAGAAGACGGUACCUGACGAAUAAGCCACGGCUAACUACGUGCCAGCAGCCGCGGUAAUACGUAGGUGGCAAGCGUUGUCCGGAAUUACUGGGUGUAAAGGGAGCGCAGGCGGGAAAUCAAGUUGGAUGUGAAAUGUCGGGGCUUAACCCCGGAACUGCAUCCAAAACUGAUAUUCUUGAGUGAAGUAGAGGUAGGCGGAAUUCCGAGUGUAGCGGUGAAAUGCGUAGAUAUUCGGAGGAACACCAGUGGCGAAGGCGGCCUACUGGGGCUUUAACUGACGCUGAGGCUCGAAAGUGUGGGGAGCAAACAGGAUUAGAUACCCU
rnacentral:rRNA from 1 species